ensembl:snoRNA
CCUCCUUUCUUGGCAUUCUCCUUUUCCUGUACCUGGUGUAUGUGACGGAGGAAAAUGAAAAGUCUAUGUCUUCGGUGCCAGAAAGUCAUCCAUCUUCUGGUUCUAUCCUCAAUCACUGGCACAACC